rnacentral:rRNA from 1 species
UGGGGAAUCUUGGACAAUGGGCGCAAGCCUGAUCCAGCCAUGCCGCGUGGAUGAUGAAGGCCUUAGGGUUGUAAAAUCCUUUCGUGGGGGACGAUAAUGACGGUACCGUAAGAAUAAGCACCGGCUAACUACGUGCCAGCAGCCGCGGUAAUACGUAGGGUGCAAGCGUUAAUCGGAAUUACUGGGCGUAAAGCGUGCGCAGGCGGUUAUAUAAGACAGAUGUGAAAUCCCCGGGCUCAACCUGGGAACUGCAUUUGUGACUGUAUAGCUAGAGUACGGUAGAGGGGGAUGGAAUUCCGCGUGUAGCAGUGAAGUGCGUAGAUAUGCGGAGGAACACCGAUGGCGAAGGCAAUCCCCUGGACCUGUACUGACGCUCAUGCACGAAAGCGUGGGGAGCAAACAGGAUUAGAUACCCAGGUAGUCCCUGAGCGGGCUGGCAAGGCGCAU